rnacentral:rRNA from 1 species
GACAGAGGGUGCUAGCGUUGUUCGGAAUUACUGGGCGUAAAGGGCGCGUAGGCGGUCCGCUAAGUUCGGCGUGAAAUCCCCUGGCUCAACUGGGGAACUGCGUUGGAUACUGGUGGACUCGAGUACCGGAGAGGAGAGUGGAAUUCCUGGUGUAGCGGUGAAAUGCGUAGAUAUCAGGAGGAACACCGGUGGCGAAGGCGGCUCUCUGGACGGAUACUGACGCUGAGGCGCGAAAGCGUGGGGAUCAAACAGG